GGAGGGAGUCCAAUUAAAAACUCUGGUCUAAAUUCUCAAACUGAACCCAGCUCUCUCUAGAGCUUUCUUUUUCCUGCCCAUUUGUCAAAAGUGAUUCUUUUUCCUCAGGAAAGAAGAAGAAUCUAAUGCCUUGUUCUCCUGAAACUUUUCCUCUCCUCUGCUAUUUGUAUGUAUGUAUAUAUAUCCAAAGGUUUGCACUAGCAGAUAAAAACAGGCUACUGUAUUUAAAUUAAAACCCCCUUCCCCGCAGAUUCAUAUAUACUUCCAAGUUUCGUUUGGCACAUAUAUUUGUGCAGCCUGAUUAUUUCAUCAAUAUGAGCGAGCCUCCAAAGUAUGCAUAUCCCUACGCUCCUCAAGGAUAUUAUCAGGGGCCUCCAGUGAUGGCACCACCCCAGUAUCAAUAUACAGCUGCUCCCCCACCUAAGAAAGGGACUGGUUUUCUCGAGGGAUGCCUUGCGGCUUUAUGUUGCUGUUUUCUGCUGGACGAGUGUUGCUGCGAUCCCUCUGUUAUCUUCGUGACCUAGCCAGGAUUGUGAUUUCACAGUUGUUCCUGGUUGGCCCGAAUCUUAUGUUUACUUCUCUUUUUUCUUCUAGACCAGACAGAAGAAAAAUAAAUCUAAGUCGCGUAAAGACUUUAAUUUGUGCUGCUACGAACUCAUACUCAUUUAUGUACCUUUAUUUCUCUGUGUUGCUCUGCAUUUUUAGGGAUCAA